UACGGAGGGUGCAAGCGUUAUCCGGAUUCACUGGGUUUAAAGGGUGCGUAGGCGGGCAGGUAAGUCAGGGGUGAAAUCUUCGAGCUUAACUCGGAAACUGCCUUUGAUACUAUUUGUCUUGAAUAUGGUGGAGGUAAGCGGAAUAUGUCAUGUAGCGGUGAAAUGCUUAGAGAUGACAUAGAACACCCAUUGCGAAGGCAGCUUACUACGCCUAUAUUGACGCUGAGGCACGAAAGCGUGGGGAUCAAACAGG
rnacentral:rRNA from 1 species